UUCAAAAGUGAAAGACGGUCUUGCUGUCACUUAUAGAUGGAUCCGCGCUGCAUUAGCUAGUUGGUAAGGUAACGGCUUACCAAGGCAACGAUGCAUAGCCGACCUGAGAGGGUGAUCGGCCACACUGGAACUGAGACACGGUCCAGACUCCUACGGGAGGCAGCAGUAGGGAAUCUUCCGCAAUGGGCGAAAGCCUGACGGAGCAACGCCGCGUGAGUGAUGAAGGUCUUCGGAUCGUAAAACUCUGUUAUUAGGGAAGAACAUAUGUGUAAGUAACUGUGCACAUCUUGACGGUACCUAAUCAGAAAGCCACGGCUAACUACGUGCCAGCAGCCGCGGUAAUACGUAGGUGGCAAGCGUUAUCCGGAAUUAUUGGGCGUAAAGCGCGCGUAGGCGGUUUUUUAAGUCUGAUGUGAAAGCCCACGGCUCAACCGUGGAGGGUCAUUGGAAACUGGAAAACUUGAGUGCAGAAGAGGAAAGUGGAAUUCCAUGUGUAGCGGUGAAAUGCGCAGAGAUAUGGAGGAACACCAGUGGCGAAGGCGACUUUCUGGUCUGUAACUGACGCUGAUGUGCGAAAGCGUGGGGAUCAAACAGGAUUAGAUACCCUGGUAGUCCACGCCGUAAACGAUGAGUGCUAAGUGUUAGGGGGUUUCCGCCCCUUAGUGCUGCAGCUAACGCAUUAAGCACUCCGCCUGGGGAGUACGACCGCAAGGUUGAAACUCAAAGGAAUUGACGGGGACCCGCACAAGCGGUGGAGCAUGUGGUUUAAUUCGAAGCAACGCGAAGAACCUUACCAAAUCUUGACAUCCUUUGACAACUCUAGAGAUAGAGCUUUCCCCUUCGGGGGACAAAGUGACAGGUGGUGCAUGGUUGUCGUCAGCUCGUGUCGUGAGAUGUUGGGUUAAGUCCCGCAACGAGCGCAACCCUUAAGCUUAGUUGCCAUCAUUAAGUUGGGCACUCUAAGUUGACUGCCGGUGACAAACCGGAGGAAGGUGGGGAUGACGUCAAAUCAUCAUGCCCCUUAUGAUUUGGGCUACACACGUGCUACAAUGGACAAUACAAAGGGCAGCGAAACCGCGAGGUCAAGCAAAUCCCAUAAAGUUGUUCUCAGUUCGGAUUGUAGUCUGCAACUCGACUACAUGAAGCUGGAAUCGCUAGUAAUCGUAGAUCAGCAUGCUACGGUGAAUACGUUCCCGGGUCUUGUACACACCGCCCGUCACACCACGAGAGUUUGUAACACCCGAAGCCGGUGGAGUAACCUUUUAGGAGCUAGCCGUCGAAGGUGGGACAAAUGAUUGGGGUGAAGUCGUAACAAGGUAGCCGUAUCGGAAGGUGCGGCUGGAUCACCUCCUUU
rnacentral:rRNA from 1 species